CGUAUCCGAAAAAACAAACAAGUGGCUCGAUUAUGUUAAAAAGAUGUCGGGUAAAGACAAAAUUAAUAUCUUUCCAUCUCGUAUGGCAAUGACUGUCAUAAAAAAUCAAUUAAAAGGUGCUCAGAAGGGACAUAGUUUACU
rnacentral:lncRNA from 1 species